UACGUAGGGGGCAAGCGUUAUCCGGAAUUAUUGGGCGUAAAGCGCGCGCAGGCGGUUUUUUAAGUCAGAUGUGAAAGCCCCGGGCUCAACCGGGGAGGGGCAUUGGAAACUGGAAAACUUGAGUCCAGAAGAGGAACGUGGAAUUCCAUGUGUAGCGGUGAAAUGCGCAGAGAUAUGGAGGAACACCAGUGGCGAAGGCGACUCUCUGGUCUGUAACUGACGCUGAGGUGCGAAAGCGUGGGGAGCAAACAGG
rnacentral:rRNA from 1 species